rnacentral:rRNA from 1 species
CCUACGGGAGGCUGCAGUGAGGAAUAUUGGUCAAUGGACGAGAGUCUGAACCAGCCAAGUAGCGUGAAGGAUGACUGCCCUAUGGGUUGUAAACUUCUUUUAUAAAGGAAUAAAACGAGGCACGUGUGCCUUUUUGCAUGUACUUUAUGAAUAAGGAUCGGCUAACUCCGUGCCAGCAGCCGCGGUAAUACGGAGGAUCCGAGCGUUAUCCGGAUUUAUUGGGUUUACAGGGAGCGUAGAUGGGUUGUUAAGUCAGUUGUGAAAGUUUGCGGCUCAACCGUAAAAUUGCAAUUGAUACUGGAAGUCUUGAGUACAGUUGAGGUAGGCGGAAUUCGUGGUGUAGCGGUGAAAUGCUUAGAUAUCACGAAGAACCCCGAUUGCGAAGGCAGCUUACUAAACUGUGACUGACAUUGAUGCUCGAAAGUGUGGGUAUCAAACAGGAUUAGAUACCCCAGUAGUC